rnacentral:rRNA from 1 species
CUACGCGUGGAUGGGCGCGCGGUGGAUGCCUUGGCGUGCACGGCCGAUGAAGGGCGCGGGGACGCGGCGAAAUGCCCCGGGGAGCGGCUCCCGCGCGGGGAUCCGGGGGUGCCCGAAUGGAGCAAUCCCGCCGGGGUGAUGCCCGGCGACCGUUAUCUGAAUCUAUAGGGUAACGGGGGGGACCGGGGGAACUGAAACAUCUCAGUACCUGGAGGAAAAGACAUCAACCGAGAUUCCGUUAGUAGUGGCGAGCGAACGCGGACCAGGCCAGUGGCUUUUGUGAGCAAAGUGGAACGAUCUGGAAAGUUCGGCCAUAGCGGGUGAUAGCCCCGUACGCGUCAAUCUCUCUUCAGUCCUCGAGUAAGGCGGGACACGUGAAAUCCUGUCUGAAAUUGGGGGGACCACCCUCCAAGCCUAAAUACUCGUAUGCGACCGAUAGCGAACUAGUACCGUGAGGGAAAGGUGAAAAGCACCCCGACAAGGGGAGUGAAACAGAUCCUGAAAUCGGAAGCCUACAAGCAGUCGGAGCCCCCAUGCGGGGUGACGGCGUACCUUUUGUAUAAUGGGUCCGCGAGUUUCUGUUGGCAGCGAGCUUAAGCCGUUAGGUGGAGGCGCAGCGAAAGCGAGUCUGAAUAGGGCGUUGAGUAUUUGGUCGUAGACCCGAAACCAGGUGAUCUACCCAUGUCCAGGCUGAAGUCCAGGUAACACUGGAUGGAGGGCCGAACCGACUUACGUUGAAAAGUGACCGGAUGAGGUGUGGGUAGCGGUGAAAUUCCAAUCGAACCUGGAGAUAGCUGGUUCUCUCCGAAAUAUAUUUAGGUAUAGCCUCAUGAGAGCAUCGUGGAGGUAGAGCACUGUUUGGACGAGGGGCCCCUCUCGGGUUACCGAAUUCAGACAAACUCCGAAUGCCAUGGAUGUGCUUCAUGGGAGUCAGACAGUGGGUGAUAAGGUCCAUUGUCGAGAGGGCAACAGCCCAGACCACCAGUUAAGGUCCCCAAAUAUAUGUUAAGUGGAAAAGGAUGUGGGGUUGCACAGACAACUAGGAUGUUAGCUUAGAAGCAGCUAUUCAUUCAAAGAGUGCGUAAUAGCUCACUAGUCGAGUGACCCUGCGCCGAAAAUGUACCGGGGCUAAAACAUAUUACCGAAGCUGUGGAUACCUUUAUAGGUAUGGUAGGAGAGCGUUCUAUGUGCGAAGAAGGUGUACCGUGAGGAGUGCUGGAGCGCAUAGAAGUGAGAAUGCCGGUAUGAGUAGCGAAAGACAGGUGAGAAUCCUGUCCACCGUAAGACUAAGGUUUCCAGGGGAAGGCUCGUCCGCCCUGGGUUAGUCGGGACCUAAGGCGAGGCCGACAGGCGUAGUCGAUGGACAACGGGUUGAUAUUCCCGUACCGGCGCUCAAACGACCCUGCCGAGGCAGGUGACGCUAAGCUCGGAAGCUCGUGGAAAGUCUUCGGACGGAACACGAGUGACCCUGCGACCCAAACUUGUAUUAGGCAAGCUGCGGAGUGACGCAGGAAGGUAGCCCAUCCCGGGCGAUGGUAGUCCCGGGCUAACUGCGUAGGGCGAGGUGUAGGCAAAUCCGCACCUCAUGUGCCUGAGACAGGACGGCUGGUUCGAAUACGUUCGAACGAGUGGGUGAUCCUAUGCUGCCUAGAAAACCUUCGUGAGCGAGUUUGUGAGCCGCCCGUACCCCAAACCGACUCAGGUGGUCAGGUAGAGAAUACCAAGGCGAUCGAGAUAACCGUGGUUAAGGAACUCGGCAAAAUACCCCCGUAACUUCGGGAGAAGGGGGGCCGGAUUCGUGACCGGACUUGCUCCGGGAGCGUUGAAGGCCGCAGAGACCAGGGCCAAGCGACUGUUUACUAAAAACACAGGUCCGUGCGAAGUCGUAAGACGAUGUAUACGGACUGACGCCUGCCCGGUGCUGGAAGGUUAAGAGGACCGGUUAGUGGAUUCGUCCGCGAAGCUGAGAAUUUAAGCCCCAGUAAACGGCGGUGGUAACUAUAACCAUCCUAAGGUAGCGAAAUUCCUUGUCGGGUAAGUUCCGACCUGCACGAAUGGCGUAACGACUUCUCUGCUGUCUCAACCACAGGCCCGGUGAAAUUGCACUACGAGUAAAGAUGCUCGUUACGCGCGGCAGGACGAAAAGACCCCGGGACCUUCACUAUAGCUUGGUAUUGGUGUUCGGUUCGGUUUGUGUAGGAUAGGUG